GACGAAGGAUGCAAGCGUUAUCCGGAUUCAUUGGGUUUAAAGGGAGCGUAGGUGGCCUUAUAAGUCAGUGGUGAAAUCUCUCGGCUUAACCGAGAAAUUGCCAUUGAUACUGUAGGGCCUGAGUACAGUUGCUGUGGGCGGAAUAUGACAUGUAGUGGUGAAAUACAUAGAGAUGUCAUAGAACACCGAUUGCGAAGGCAGCUCACAAAACUGUAACUGACACUGAGGCUCGAAAGUGCGGGGAUCAAACAGG
rnacentral:rRNA from 1 species